CCUACGGGCGGCAGCAGUAGGGAAUCUUCCACAAUGGGCGAAAGCCUGAUGGAGCACCGCCGCGUGGGUGAAGAAGGUUUUCGGAUCGUAAAACCCUGUUGUUAGAGAAGAAAGUGCGUGAGAGUAACUGUUCACGUUUCGACGGUAUCUAACCAGAAGGCCACGGCUAACGACGUGCCAGCAGCUGCGGUAAUCCGAAGGUGGCAAGCGUUAUCCGGAUUUAUUGGUCGUACGGGGAACGCAGGCGGUCUAUUAAGGCUGAGGUGAAAGCCUUCGGCGUAACAGGAGUAGUGCAUGGGAAACUGGGAGACUUGAGUGCAGAAGAGGAGAGUGGAACUCCAGGUGUAGCGGUGAAAUGCGUAGAUAUAUGGAAGAACACCAGUGGCGAAAGCGGCUCUCUGGUCUGUAACUGACGCUGAGGUUCGAAAGCGUGGGUAGCAAACAGGAUUAGAUACCCCGGUAGUC
rnacentral:rRNA from 1 species